GCCAAAAGAUUUACCGACUUAAAUCUGCAAGCAACCUUUUAAUUAAACCAAAACAUUUGUCUUGGCCAGUAAAUGAGAUUAAACCCCAUCACCGGCUUUACAAGUACCGCAAGGGAACACUGAAAGAACAAUGAAAACACACAGCACAAAAAAGCAAAGGUAAAACCCUGUACCUCUUGCAUCAUGGUCUAGCAACCCCCAAAAAGGCAAAGAGACCUUAAGCCUUUACACCCGAAACCAAACGAGCUAUUUUUAGGCAGCUUUUGAUUAGAGCAAACCCCCCUCUGUAGCAAAAGACGUGGGAAGACCUGAAAAUAAGGGGCAAAAAACCUACCGAGCUUGGUGAUAGCUGGUUACUCAAUAAAAGAAUAUUAGUUCAACUUUAAACAUUAACCUGAGGAAAACCCCCUAAGCCUCAUCCCUUAAUAUUUAAAGAAAUUCAAUGGGGGUACAACCCAAUUGAACCGGAACACAACCCGAAUAGAGAGUUAACCUUUGUAAUACUUUCCCGUAGGCUUCAAGGCAGCCACCAAAAACUGCGUUACAGCAAAAACCUAAAACAAUCCCAGCAUCUAAAUUAUACUCCUAAACCCUAAUGAGUUAUUCUAUACUAAAAUAGGAACACUAAUGCUAAAAUUAGUAAUAAGAAACCCACGUUUCUCCUUCCACUCCUUUAUAUCAGAAUAGAAAAACUACUGAGCAUUAACAACCCAAUAAGCCCACCUACGCUAUCUAGCCAAAUGUGACCAAAAACUUGUUACCCCAACUCAGGCGUGCCCUAAGGAAAGACAAAAGGUCGAAAAAGGAACUCGGCAAACCUAAAAUCCCAACUGUUUACCAAAAACAUAGCCUUUAGCCCUACAAGUAUUAAAGGUCCCGCCUGCCCAGUGACUCUUUUAAACGGCCGCGGUAUCCUAACCGUGCAAAGGUAGCAUAAUCACUUGUCUCUUAAAUAGAGACUAGAAUGAAUGGCUAAAUGAGGACCUAGCUGUCUCUUACGACCAGUCAAUGAAAUUGAUUUUCCAGUCCAAAAGCUGGAAUUUUUACAUAAGACGAGAAGACCCCGUGGAGCUUAAAAACCAGACCAUCUUUAUGUUUCCUGGUUUUUCAGUUGGGGCGACUUCGGAGUACAAAAAAACCUCCAAAAAUUAAUCAAAAUUACAAGACCAACACAUCAAAUAAUUAUUCUAGACCCAGAUACAACUUCUGAUCAAUGAACCAAGUUACCCCGGGGAUAACAGCGCCAUCCCCUUCAAGAGUCCUUAUCGACAAGGGGGUUUACGACCUCGAUGUUGGAUCAGGACACCCCAAUAGUGCAGCCGCUAUUAAAGGUUUGUUUGUUCAACAAUUAAAGUCCUACGUGAUCUGAGUUCAGACCGGAGAAAUCCAGGUCGGUUUCUAUCUAUGAGGUAUUAUCUUCAGUACGAAAGGACCAAGAUAGCAGGACCCCCACUAAAGAGGCGUCCUAACUAUAACUACUAAAACUACUAAAGUGGAAUACGUGCCACCAGUUAGUCUUACAGGACUA
rnacentral:rRNA from 1 species